CUUUCAGAGCUUUCAGUGAGACAGACAGCCCGCUGUGGCACGCGUGCCGUAGGUGUCUAAACGUAUGCCUGAUGAUUCCAGCAGACCUGUCGAGAGCUACUUCAUCCUGUCCGUCUUGGCCAUGAUCUUUUGCUUUCCCUCAGCCUUCCAGCCUUAAUCUUAUCUUACCAGGCAAUGCUCUACAAUCAAUCAAAUGACCAUGAACAGGCAGCUACAACCACCAAAAUAGCUUUCUGCUUGGGCUUCACUGGCCUUAUUUUGGGCCGCUUCAGCUACCCCAUAUUGCUUCUUGUACUAUUAUUAUUAUUAAGGUAACCUUCCAAGCUCAUGAACAAACUACUGAAUAUAAACAACGGU
ensembl:lncRNA